UCUCUCCCCAGCCUGGAGCGCGCCAAGUAAUUGAGCCAAUCGGUGUUACCAGAGCGUUUGACGUCAUUAGUUGUCAAGGAGCAGGCGCGACCCGGAGGAUUCCUCCUCUGGAAUGGAAAUCUCAGGCAGCUAGGACAGAAGGCUUAGGAGGUGCGGUCGUUUUAUGUUUUCCUUUGUUUCUGGACGGUCCAUGAUCUGCAACCCAACCUUCUGCAGGAAUCUGUUGUCUUUCAAGAUGCUUGAGUCUGGCUUGACGUUCGCCCACAUCUUAAAAUCUGGAGGUGAAAGAUUCAAGAGCCUCAGAAGGUUGGGUGGACCCUGUCAGGUACCUUGGGGAACUGCUUCAAGGAUUGGCAGAAGCUGUUUUUCAACCCCCAAAAUGUUUUUACCUACAAAAUGUCGUGAUCACCGCUGAAACUACUUUCUUUUUCUCCUCCCUCUUUUACCAUGCUCAUACCUUAGAUGUCCACCCCCUAACAGAAGCCGAGAAAACAGCGUUUAGUAUGCUCCUUUGACCCUUCUCUCUUCAAGUAGAUUAUAUGGAGCUGGAGUAUAGAUUACAGAUCACUCAGUCUACCUCUCCUCACACACCACCUGAGUAUCGAGCUGACAUUCUGUCUCUUGCUAUAUGGAAUUUUCAGGGAACAUAUUACAAUUUUCAUAAAACAUUUUAUUUUGUGCACGCAUGUGUGCAUGGUGUGUGUGUGUGUGUGUGUGUGUGUGUGUGUGUGUGUGUGUUUCAGUUCCCUCCUUCCAUUAUGUGGAUGCCGGGGCUGAAAGUCAGGUCACCAGGCUUGGCAGCUGCCUUUAACUGCUGAGUGAUCUGACUGGCCCUAGGGACUGUUUUUAAAAAACAAAAUAUAUAUAUAUAUAUAUGCAUGCAUGCAAUUUGGCUUUUUAGAAGCUCUUAAAUUUAACAUGACACAUUUUAUGAGUACACACUAAUUUAGCAGCAAAGGUCUUAUUAAAUGACGAAGGUCAGAUGUUAGGAGAAAGAUAAACAGGAAAGACCCAUUAUGCAUUCUAAGGCGUCCAAGCAACACGGAGGAUAGAAUUAGAAAGGCAGCCCUGGGGGUUGGGGAUUUAGCUCAGUGGUAGAGCGCUUGCCUAGCAAGCGCAAGGCCCUGGGUUCGGUCCCCAGCUCCGAAAAAAAAAAAAAAAAAAAAAAAAAAAAAAAAAAAAAAAAAAAAGAAAGGCAGCCCUGGACCCAGAGCUGAUCCUUGGGAAGUCAUAAAGCCUCGGACUCUCAGCCCGUCUCUCCCUAUUUUUUGGCAUUCUGCACAUGUCCUUAUGUGGGGUGCUGUCCCUUCCCAGACCUUCAGUUCCCACCAUGAACUUUAGGCUGCAUGCAGUGUGCUGGAGAGAGCUUCAGGCAGAACUUUUCCUGGUAAUUCCACAAUAAAAAUGGCUGUGAACUGAGGGUGACCAGUCUUCUGAUUGCCAGAAAGCGACGAGGAGCUACAAGAAACUCUAAGAAGAAGCAUGGUUCUUCCCUGUUUGUUAUGUCACAACGUAUCCUGCCCUGCCACUGUCCUGCUCCUGCCCUGCCACCGCGGCUCGCUCUCUUCUGACUGACCACCCACACCUCCGGGCAUCCUCGCAUGGCAACGUCGUUCCUUAAAACGAAGACGCUCCCCAGGAUCCAGGCAGCAGUGGUUGGAGUCUGGGCAUUUGGAUCCCGGCAGCUUGAGCUAGAAGCUACAAGCCACGUGGCAGUCAGCCGAUCUGGGCUGGGAGGGGCUGGAGGGGAAAUCAAAAACCUGAUGAUUAAUCUCGGCACCAUGCUCUUUACUGGUGGCCUCUUAAAGCACUGGCAUCCUUAUUAUUUUAUAUGCAAUGACACAGAAUUGUGGAAAUAUUAAGAACUUUCGGACAGCUUGAGGAACAUAAGGGUUGUAUGAAGACUAAUGGGGAAGAAAGAGGUAAUUUGCGGUAAAGAGAGGGGGUAACUGCCAUUUAUUACAGUGAAGAAAUUCCCACUUUCUCCAAAGUUGGUAGUGUUAAAAAAUCACCGUUUUAACUUAACAAACAAACAAAACAAAAAUUAAUUUGAAACAAGGUCUGACCAUAUAUCCUAGGAUGGCUUGGGAUUUAUCUCAGACUGGCUUUGAAUCCUUGACCUUCCUGCCUCAGCAUCCCAAGGGCUGGUUGUCUGGCCCCAAAAGAACUCAGGGCAAAUGCCUAACCACGGUGCCAAUUAGCAUACCAAAGCCAGCUUCACUCGGUAAGUUUGGCUUCUCCCGCCUCUUCUGACCCUGCCCCUUGGCUUCUCCCAGCUCUUCUGACCCCGCCCCCUACCCUAAACCUUUCCAGCCCAGGGGCUCGCUUCUGCAUCUUCUCCUUCCUUUAUAACCCUUCCAUUUCAGCUCUGCAUCAUCUUGGUUCUCUGCUCUGACUCCUUCCUCUCUUGGUCCUCUCUCUCACUCUCCUUUGCCCUCUCUCUCCUCUUCUUUUCUCGCUCUCCCUUCUUAUCUCUCCCUUCAUAGCCAGUUCAGUCUAUGUUUUCUCUCCUUGCUCUGGACUCUUCCAGAUGCCUCUGUCUGUACUGUUCUUUCUCUCUCUCUCUCUCUCUCUCUCUCUCUCUCUCUCUCUCUCUCUCUCUCUCAUCUACAUUCAAACUAGGAAAAGAAAGACUCUACAUUGCAAGAGAGGAAAUGGGCAGAGAGAAAACGGGCAGAGUUCACUAGCCCAAACCGCUCCACCUAAUGAAGAAUUGGACUUUUAUGUAACUAUCUCCUGCUUUGGAGCUCAUUUGCAUAGUGUGGGCUUUUCUGAGUAUGCACUGUCUGUUUUAUGUAGUUCUGCAUAUAACGUCAUUAAUCACGUCUCGUUAGCCACUUAAAGUUCCACCAAGCUUUGUGUGUUUUAGUAUCACGGUGAGGCAUAGGCCACCCUCAGCUGCUCUGCGACGCCUUUGCCAAUGGUUUCGGCCAGUUUUAACCAGGUGUGUGUGUGUGUGUGUGUGUGUGUGUGUGUGUGUGUGUGUAAGAGACAAACAGAUAAGGGGGAGGGGUUCUUCCUAUAUAACUCAGGCUGCCCUUAAACUCAUAAUCUUCCUGCCUCAUUUUCCCAAGUUCUGGAGUUACAGAUAUGCAGCACCACUCCUGAUAUGUGAGUGAAGAUUUAAACAGGAUGAACGGCAUGGCAAACACUUUCAAGUUUUUGUUUCCAUCUCUUGGAAAUAAAAAUCUAGAGGUCAGAAUCCAGGGAGAAAGUCAGGAAUCCACUUUACACAACCUGAACUAUUUGCAAGUCCCACCGAUGGCAUGAGGGGCGGAAGGUGUAGAAAGUCCUGCAGAUGCUUAUUUAGUGGGACAAACAGAUGCUCUAAGACCAGCUCUGGGCAUGAAGGGGAACAGCUGAGUUGAAUACGGAGCUAGGCCACUUAGCAAGCACUACGCUUGGCAUUAUGGGAAAGCUUCGCUAUUGGGCAGAAACCGGAAGAAAGGGAAAGAAAGCUCAUGCUGGGAAGGCGGGGAAAGGAGGCCUCCCUUCCACCCAUGCACGCACGCAGGCAGUGCUCUGUGCUGCCUUGUGUACACAAGGCACCGUGCAGCUUAUUGAUGGCAUCGAGCAGUUCAUUCUUGCUCAGUCUUGUUCUACCUUUUCUUGGUACUUACCCGACCUCCAGCCACGUGGUGCGAACCCCAGAGCCCAGAAGACCAAGAAAAUUCCUUCUUCACGGUCCUCAACAAGUUCUCCUUCAUUCCAACAGAGUCAGACCCAGGCCAAUCGAUUUUUGCCACCAGAGGAGUGCGCAAAAAGAUGGGAAAGGGGCAGCUGAGACUUCACUAUGACUGGAAAUAAUGAAAUCUCCCUGCGAAGGUGUCAGUAAUGCUAGCCUUCCCUCUCACUAGACAGUCACAAGGUGUCUUUUCCCCACCUCUAUCCCCGGGCAGGGGUGCUGAGGUGUUAGAAGAAGCCAAGUGUGAGCCUGUUGCUGGGACUUUCAGCAGGAGUCAAUGGUUGUAUGAGGACGAAUCCCACCUCCUGAGAAUCCAUGGCUUUAUCUGAAAAUCUAAAAUUUGUUUUGCACCCUGUAAACAUAUUGUUACUUCAAAAUAAAGUCUUUUUUUUCACUCCCAA